rnacentral:rRNA from 1 species
AUGAAGGAGCUCAGAGCCAAUGUAGAGGAUGUCAGCCAGAGGAACAUGCGCUACAACCUCAUCAAGGGCUCUGGAUCCAAGGCCGCCAUGGCUCUAGAGCAGUCUAGCAUUUCUUCUACAGCACUGUUUGGCAUCGAUGAAGCAAGGCAUGCGGUGAAGCAGGAGAUAUCAAAGGUAGAUCUUUUUCAGCUGAUCAACGGGAAGGAGAAUGACCUUAGGGUAAUUGCAGUGUGGGGAACAAGUGCUGAUCUCGGGCAAACUUCCAUCAUCAGGACGAUGUAUGAGGAUCCAGAUAUUAAAAGCAAGUUCUCGUGCCGAGCUUGGGUCAGAGUGAUUCAUCCUUUUAAUCCAAAAGACUUUGUUCAGAGUUUGGUGCAGCAAUUUCAUGCAGCCGUAGGGGUUGAUGCUCUGUUGAAAAUGGAGAAGACGUUGCAAGAGUUGGCUGAAGAGUUUAAUGGACAUGUGAACAGUAAAAGAUACCUGAUUGUUCUUAACGACCUGUCCACUGUUGAGGAGUGGGAUCUGAUUAAAAGGUGCUUCCCAGAAAAGACUAUGGGGAGCAGGAUCAUAGUGUCUACAGGUCAAGUUGAAGUUGCAAGAUUAUGUGCAGGGCGAGAAAGCAUAGUAUCAGUACUUAGGUGCAUGCCUGCUGAUCAGAGUAUUUAUGCUUUCCACAAGAAGGUAAUAUUCAAGUUCCACCUCCUGCUGUACGUUUAG